rnacentral:piRNA from 1 species
UGGUGACAUUUUGUUUUCUCCAAUUAUAAGC